GAUGAACGCUAGCUACAGGCUUAACACAUGCAAGUCGAGGGGAAACGAUAUUGGAAGCUUGCUUCUGAUAGGCGUCGACCGGCGCACGGGUGAGUAACGCGUAUCCAACCUGCCCAUCACUUGGGGAUAACCUUGUGAAAGUAAGACUAAUACCCAAUGACGUCUCUAGAAGACAUCUGAAAGAGAUUAAAGAUUUAUCGGUGAUGGAUGGGGAUGCGUCUGAUUAGCUUGUUGGCGGGGUAACGGCCCACCAAGGCGACGAUCAGUAGGGGUUCUGAGAGGAAGGUCCCCCACAUUGGAACUGAGACACGGUCCAAACUCCUACGGGAGGCAGCAGUGAGGAAUAUUGGUCAAUGGGCGAGAGCCUGAACCAGCCAAGUAGCGUGCAGGAUGACGGCCCUAUGGGUUGUAAACUGCUUUUAUAAGGGAAUAAAGUGGGAGUCGUGAGACUUUUUGCAUGUACCUUAUGAAUAAGGACCGGCUAAUUCCGUGCCAGCAGCCG
rnacentral:rRNA from 1 species